UACGGAGGGUGCGAGUGUUACCCGGAUUUACUGGGUGUAAAGGGCGUGUAGGCGGUCUCUCAAGUCCGAUGCUAAAGACCGAAGCUCAACUUCGGGGGUGCGUUGGAUACUGUGAGGCUAGACGGUCGGAGAGGGUAGCAGAAUUUCCGGAGUAGCGGUGAAAUGCGCAGAUACCGGAAGGAACGCCAAUAGCGAAAGCAGCUACCUGGACGAUUUGUGACGCUGAGGCGAGAAAGCGUGGGGAGCAAACCGG
rnacentral:rRNA from 1 species